rnacentral:rRNA from 1 species
CGCGGCCUAUCAGCUUGUUGGUGGGGUAACGGCCCACCAAGGCAUCGACGGGUAGCUGGUCUGAGAGGAUGAUCAGCCACACUGGGACUGAGACACGGCCCAGACUCCUACGGGAGGCAGCAGUGGGGAAUCUUGCGCAAUGGGCGAAAGCCUGACGCAGCAACGCCGCGUGCGGGAUGAAGGCUCUCGGGUUGUAAACCGCUUUCAGCAGGAACGAAAAUGACGGUACUUGCAGAAGAAGGUGCGGCCAACUAUGUGCCAGCAGCCGCGGUGAUACAUAGGCACCAAGCGUUGUCCGGAUUUAUUGGGCGUAAAGAGCUCGUAGGUGGUUCGGUAAGUCGGGUGUGAAAACUUUGGGCUCAACCCAAAGCCUGCAUCUGAUACUGCUGUGACUAGAGUUCGGUAGGGGAGCGGGGAAUUCCUAGUGUAGCGGUGAAAUGCGCAGAUAUUAGGAGGAACACCGGUGGCGAAGGCGCCGCUCUGGGCCGAUACUGACACUGAGGAGCGAAAGCGUGGGUAGCAAACAGGAUUAGAUACCCUGGUAGUCCACGCCGUAAACGUUGGGCACUAGGUGUGGGUUCCAACCAACGGAAUCCGCGCCGUCGCUAACGCAUUAAGUGCCCCGCCUGGGGAGUACGG